UUAUAGGGGAAGAUCGUUACCCUUCGUACGCGGGGCACAUUCAUACAGUCAAAAUAAAACUUGAACGAAACAAAGUACAGUCUUGCUUUUGUAUGUGUGCAUGAGUCAAGGUACCAACUAUACAUCAACGAAGUUUCGUGAAAUUCGCACCGAUGAGAGUGAAGUUACAGGCAUGGACGUGUUUUCGCGCUCGAUGCUGUGAAUAAUUUACCAAUCCAUCAAAUAGUAGUUCCUUCGAAGUCAGUUUUGACACCAGAGGCAUUUCGACCCUAUCCGCAUUUUGUAAGAAGUAAUAAAACAAACAAAAUGACGAUGACGGCCAGGAAAACCACGAAUUUAUACUGCCAAACCCGAAAAUAAGAAGUGCUAAUCCACACCAAAGAGUAAAAAAUGUGAUUCUAAAUUUAAGUUACCUAACUAAUUAAAUUUUGUUUUACAUAAGAAAAGUAUUUUAUUUUUGUUUAAUAGAAGUUAAAUCUUUAUUUUUGUGUUUAAUUUCAUUGCUAAUAAAUGAAUUUUGAACUACCCCACAGCGUAAGAAGGUACCCCUAACACUGUACGAAGGUGCCCCGUUGAUGGGGCAGAUUCGUACGUAUUCCAGAUUUAGUUCAAAUCAUAAUUGUGGUUGAAACAUCGGAUGAAAUCAUUUGUCAUUUUUUUAUUUGAAUCUCAGAUAGUUAGACUAUAAAUUUAAGCUAUCAAGUGAUUGAUUCAUGGAAAAAGAAAAAAUUAAAAAAAUAAAAUGUGAAAACCGUACGAAGGGUCCCCACCUUCCCCUAUAUAAUUUAU